rnacentral:tRNA from 1 species
UCCAUGGUGGCUCAGAGGUUAAAGCAUCUGCCUCCAAUGCGGGAGAUCCAGGUUUGAUCCCUGGGUUAGGAA